UACGAACUGUGCGAACGUUAUUCGGAAUCACUGGGCUUACAGGGUGCGUAGGCGGCUUGUUAAGUAGGGUGUGAAAGCCCCCGGCUCAACCGGGGAAUUGCGCCCUAAACUGGCGAGCUGGAGUGAGAUAGGGGUGUGUGGAACUUCCGGUGGAGCGGUGAAAUGUGUUGAUACCGGAAGGAACGCCGGUGGCGAAAGCGACACACUGGAUCUUGUCUGACGCUGAGGCACGAAAGCCAGGGGAGCGAACGGG
rnacentral:rRNA from 1 species